rnacentral:rRNA from 1 species
UGGGGAAUUUUGGACAAUGGGCGCAAGCCUGAUCCAGCAAUGCCGCGUGCAGGAUGAAGGCCUUCGGGUUGUAAACUGCUUUUGUACGGAGCGAAAAGGUCUGCCCUAAUACGGUGGGCUCAUGACGGUACCGUAAGAAUAAGCACCGGCUAACUACGUGCCAGCAGCCGCGGUAAUACGUAGGGUGCGAGCGUUAAUCGGAAUUACUGUGCGUAAAGCGUGCGCAGGCGGUUAUAUAAGACAGGUGUGAAAUCCCCGGGCUCAACCUGGGACCUGCAUUUGUAACUGUAUAGCUAGAGUACGGUAGGGGGGGAUGGAAUUCCGCGUGUAGCAGUGAAAUGCGUAGAUAUGCGGAGGAACACCGAUGGCGAAGUCAAUCCCCUGGACCUGUACUGACGCUCAUGCACGAAAGCGUGGGGAGCAAACA